UCGACAAUAGUUUACUCAAAAUAUUAGAUUGUGAUUCUAAAGAAUAAGGACCUACCCUUAUGUCGAC
rnacentral:tRNA from 1 species